ACAGGGCCCGCGCGCAGUGACCCUACUGCCCCUACAGUAAGUCAGAGGAACCGGCUCCAGUCCGUUGUCCCUCGAGCGCCCACCUGCGGGGCCCGCCUGUCCAAUACUCCAAUCCACGGAGUUCGUCCCUUCCCCCCGAGUUGUGGAUGGGCUUGCCGUCGUAGACUCGGCGGUCACCGGUCAUCGUGGCGACGGCGGACCUCGUCAAGCUGGCGCUCGAUACUCGAUAGUUCCGGUUUCUUGCCUUCGUGGUAAACCCAACAUAUUUUAGCAAAGACUCGGGAAGGCAAAACUUUUCUGUUUGUUUGGCUCGCUUUUCAUUGGCCUAACAUCUUCGGGAGUCCUAACAAAUCUGAUGUCUAAUUCAGGACACUCAUUGAUUCUGGUGGAAUAGAAGCUUUCUUACCUUGUCUUUUUUCCAUUGUUCUAGUUUCAAUACUGUGGUCUAUAGUCCAUAUAGUCGUCCUGCCUUUUUCCUUACUGGACCAGCAGAUUCUUCUGCUACCACCGUUUUAUGGAUUCAGUCAAACUCUGGUUGUGAUUGCACUUUCCUCGGUACCGCCUGCGGAAUCCUGUAUUAUCCUGUAUAUGAUGUACUUGUGGCUGUUCCUGGCAGCAUCUUUAUCAUGUUCCUAAAGAAUAUUAACUAGGAAAAAGAAACAAAUUAUUCUUUUUUGUUGUGCA